CUUGAAUGAACACCACAAUAACUGAAUUUCCCCCAUUUUUAUCAGCAACCUUGUAUAACCUUCCUGGAAUUUGUUUGAGGAUUACGAAUAAAGCAGGAACACCCCCCUAAGAAUUGCAUAUACACCAAGGCACAUGUUCCUAGUUGUCAGAUACAUCCCCCGGAAACGAGCGAUAUUAUUUCGAGGCUUUCCUACAUUUAAAAAAUAAACAUGUUCAACUUGUUCUACAACAGGAAUCCACCCCACAAAAUACAAUUCAUGUAUAAAGUAGGAUCCACUGUUUCAAAACUAGAGUUUCUACCUUUCUCCCCUGUUUUCUCACCAUAAAGUGAAGUCAGCUUCUUGUAUUUUUGUUGACGAAAUCACGAGCAACAUGCUGACUAGAAAAUCAUUCAAAAACUAAACUCUUCUUUACAUCGUUGUCUUGUUUAUAC
rnacentral:lncRNA from 1 species